CCCUUUGUUGUCCGACUCUGUUGCCUCCGGGGCGACCCUGCCUUCGGGCGGGGGCUCCGGGUGGACACUUCAAACUCUUGCGUAACUUUGCAGUCUGAGUAAACUUAAUUAAUAAAUUAAAACUUUUAACAACGGAUCUCUUGGUUCUGGCAUCGAUGAAGAACGCAGCGAAAUGCGAUAAGUAAUGUGAAUUGCAGAAUUCAGUGAAUCAUCGAAUCUUUGAACGCACAUUGCGCCCCCUGGUAUUCCGGGGGGCAUGCCUGUUCGAGCGUCAUUUCACCACUCAAGCCUCGCUUGGUAUUGGGCAACGCGGUCCGCCGCGUGCCUCAAAUCGACCGGCUGGGUCUUCUGUCCCCUAAGCGUUGUGGAAACUAUUCGCUAAAGGGUGUUCGGGAGGCUACGCCGUAAAACAACCCCAUUUCUAAGG
rnacentral:rRNA from 1 species